rnacentral:rRNA from 1 species
AUGAAGCUCCCGCUGUCGGCGGGGUCGCCCGACGCGGCGCCGGAGAUGGCCAAGCCGUCGCUGCCGGCGACGUGGCUCAUCCUGCACGCGCUCUUCUGCGCCACCUCCAUGGCCGUCGGCUUCCGCUUCUCGCGCCUCGUCGUCUUCCUCCUCUUCCUGCCCACGCCGCCCAUGAACCCCUCCGCGCACCUCGUCUCCCUCGUCACCCCGCCCGUCAUGCUCGCCAGCUCCAACGCCACCGCCACCAUCACUACUACUACUACGACCACCACCACCGUCACGACGACGACCACGGUGGCUGAGAGCGAGGCCGGAUCCAACGCGCACCACCAGGUCCACCACGGCCCGGUCUUCGUCGGCCGCCACGCCAUCCGCGUCCGCAAGUGGCCGCACCCGAACCCCGGCGAGCUCCUCAAGGCCCACAGCAUCCUCGCCGCCGUCCAGGAAGCGCAGCGCCGCAGCCGCAACCGCCUGGCCGACCCGCUCAGGCCCGUGAUUGCCGUCACCCCGACCACCACCUCCGCGCUCCAGGCGCCGUCGCUCACGUCCCUGGCGCACACCCUCCGCCUCGUCGACGCCCCGCUCAGGUGGAUCGUCGUCGAGCCUGGCCACCGCACCGACGCCGUCGCCGCCGUGCUCGCCCGCUCCGGCCUCGACUUCCUCCACCUCGUCGCCUCCGACGGCGCCUCCACCGCGCGCCUGCGAAUGCACGCCCUCAGGGAGGUACGGAAGGAGAAGAUGGACGGCGUGGUGGUGUUCGCGGACGAGAACGGCAUCCUCCGGACGGAGCUGUUCGACGAGGCGCAGAAGGUCAAGUCCGUGGGCGCCGUGCCGGUGGGCAUUCUGGGCGAGGACGAAGGCACCAAGGAGUCCUUCCUGCAGGCGCCGGCCUGCGACGAGGCCGGGAAGCUGGUGGGCUACCACGUAUCGGAGGAGACGCUGCUGCCGGCGGCGCGGAGCGACAUGCUGCUGUCCACCCGGCUGGAGUGGGCCGGGUUCGUGGUGAACGCGCGGGUGCUCUGGGAGGGCGCGGCGGAGCGGCCCGAGUGGGUGCGCGACCUGGACGCCGUGGACGGCGGCGCGCACCUGGACAGCCCGCUGGCGCUGGUCACCGACGCCGGCCAGGUGGAGCCGCUCGCCAGAUGCGCCCAGGCGGCGCUGGCGUGGUCGCUCCGGUCAGACGCUCUGCAUGAAGUCAAGUUCCCGCAUGAGUGGAAAUUUGAUGCUCCUCUAGUAAGCGCCGCUUCGCGUCAGCAGAGCAGCGUAGUAAAUACUGAAGAUGGUCACUAG